GCAACCCUACAGACCAAUGGAAAUUGAGGACUCAGACUUUGCCUCCCUCUAGCCUCUCCCUUCCACUUUCAGUUAGAUUUCAGAUGGUGUCCAACUGAGAUUCAGAAAUGAGCAGAUUAAAGGAAAGGAGAACAAGAUGUAAAAGGACCUGAACAAAGCAGUGACAUCAGAGCUGAUGGAGUUUUUAAUGCUACACAUUGGAAGUACUCCAUGUGCAGAAAUCGAUUAAGUUGUUGAAAUGAAAGGCUUUGAAUAAGACUUUACAAUGCCAGAGGAUCACAUAUUGAAAGUUGGAAGGUCCUCUUACAGAUUCAACCACCUACUUUUUCAAGAGUAAGCAGGGAAAAAACUUUCAUGGUCCCAAACCACAGUAAUGAUAUUUGUAUUAUCACUUCAAGAUUCUCUUUGAAUGUAAACUUGGUCAAGAAAAGAAGACUGGAAGCAGGAAUUUUCUAGUGUAAUAUAAAUAGUGUAUGUAUAUCUUUUCCUACAUGUUGAUUUAAAGCAAAUAUAUUUUAUAGGCUCUAUCAUUAUCAGUUAUUUUGUUACUUUAUUAAUAAAG
rnacentral:lncRNA from 1 species